AAAGGUAUUCAGUAAAAAGUAUCCCUAAAAACUGAAAGUAAAAUUAUGUACAGAUUUGGAGCAAUAACUAGAGAGGAACUAUUUCAAGUGACUUAAAAGACAAUUGUUAGAAGCAGGGUUUCUUAACCUCAGCAUGACUGACAUUUUGAGCCAGAUAAUUAUUUGUGGGGAGUGGGGGUGGGGACAGGGCAGUUGUCCUGUGCAUCAUGCGACGUUAGCAGCAUCCAAGGCUCAGCGAGCUUCUAUAAUUGGCAACAACUGGCACAUACUGCCAUACAUCAUUGCUGGGAGGAUUAAGUGCUGUCUGUGCGACACCACUGGGGGAGUGUUUUAAAAUAUAGGUUUUAUUAUUAUUCAAGUAUGGUGAGGGCAAUAGAUCAGGUGACUGCCAUUGACAAGAAAGCUUGUUGUACUUACAGAUUCCAAAAGGGGCAUGGCACGCCACAGGGAGCCACACUGGAAGCCCAGGGUCAGUGAGGAGGUAGAGGGAACGAUGGGAUCAAGUGGAGUAAGAGCCUUGUGAUCUCCAUGGGAAGGAAGGGGCAAGGCCGAGUAAACAGACUGGCGAGUUCGAAUAAUUUCAGCAGGCUGUGGGGCCUAGGGGCUGUCCCUAGCUUUCUGGUACCUGGCCCUGCGGUGAUUAGGGCAGGUGGAUAUCCCAGAGUAUGGGAUAUUGGCUCAGAGUAUGAGACGUCCUGUAAAGGAGAGAUUGGGGUAUGGGCUCCAGAUUGGUUGGUUUACAUAUGAAAGGAGCAGUCAUAGGUGAGUCAUUUACUCUCUCCAGGAAUUGGCUAGCCUUGGGAGGAACAAUCUCUCCACCGAGUGAGCAAGGCCCCUCCCAUGUCAAAGAAUCAAACACGCACGGUUCAUAUUGAGGGUACAACUGGAAGCUUGUGCUUGUUUUCUGCUGGACUUCGCUCACGCACCUUCUCCGUUUGCUGAUUUUAAUCUGUAUCCUUUCACUAAAAUAAACAGGAAUGAUGUGUAUAGCAGCUUUUCAGAGUUCUGUGAAUCUAUCUUGUGAAUCAUCAAGCAUGAGGGUGGUCUCAGGGACCCCUGACACGGCUGCUAGAACCAUCAGGUGGAAGGUUAGUGGGGUACUUUAUAAUGGAAAAGACCAGACUGACACCACAGACCCCAUUGCUCAGUCACAGCGUGUGGAACCACCAGAUGUCACGUUCCUCUCCAUAUGAUGCAAAACAAAGAUGCAGAGUCACUCAGGAAGUACUUAUGUCAGAUCAACCGCACCUGAAUCUAAUCAAGGCUCUUUGUGUAACUGCACAUUUUUAGGAAAUACUGGGGAGACAGGAACCUUUAAACAACACUGGGAGGAAAUGAGCAGUGAAAUACAAAAUGUGGGAAAUUCUACAGGACAAAAAACCCACCUUUCAACACAGAAAAAAGGGUAACUGUUACAGAUUUAAAGAGACAAAAGACCCCAUCAAUCAAAUGCACAGUGUGGCUCUUAUUUAGAUCUUAAUUUGAACAAAUAAACAGUCAAAAUACAUUUUUGAGACAACAUGGGAAAACUGAGCAGACUACAUAUUAGAUAUUAAGGAUAUUAAUUCUGUUGGGUGAAAUACGAUGGUUAGGAUUUGCUUUAAAUGGUCAAAGAAAAAAAUAUUGGCGGGGACGAGGCAAUAGAUCAAACAAGAGCAGCAAUAAAGCUGACGUUUGCUAAGUUUGAGUGGUGGUUCAGGGAGUCCACUGUGCUAGUCUAUAUUUGUGACUAAAAAUUUCCAUAACAAGUUCAAAAAAGAAAAUGUAUUUAAAAAUUAGAAGCAGUUAUCAGCCAAAUAUAGGUUAAGAAACAUUAGUAAAAUAAAAAUCCUUUCACUUGCCGUUAAAAAUAAAAAACAGUAAAAACACAUUUUAUAAAUAUAUGAAAUCUGAGAGCCUGCCAAGAUUGCAGAGAUGUGAUUGUAAGGCACAGAUGAGAUUUUAAACCUGGGUUUUUAGAGAUUAAAAUAAAAUGUAGGAUGGUUUAAGCACCUACUUUUAGCUCUUGAGAAAACAGGUACAGUCCAAAGUGAAGCUGCCUUUAGUCUCUAGCCUUCAUGUUUUUUUUCUAGUCUCUAUUCUGAAGUCUAAAUUUGUUGGUUUUUUUGGGGGGUGAAAAUUUAACAUAAAAUUUAGGCAUAAAAAACAUUAUCCUUUUACGUUUUAAUAUAAGUCUUUAUCCUUUAAACUAAGAUCUCAUAAGAGAGAGACGCAUCAUCCUUUAGAUAAAAGCUCCCGACAGCCCAGGUGUCCCAGCUGCUGUCAUAAUGUAAGAUUUGGGGCCAGGCAAAAGAAACUGAUUAAAGCAGAAUACUGGAGAUCCUGGCCUUCAAGUAGUGAUAUUUUUGCUUUUUUUUUUUUUGAGACGGAGUUUCACUCUUAUUGCCCAGGCUGGAGUGCAAUGGCACAAUCUUGGCUCACCACAACCUCCGCCUCCUGGGUUCAAGCGAUUUUCCUGCCUCAGUCUCCCGAGUAGCUGGGAUUACAGGCAUGUACAACCACGCCCAGCUAAUUUUGUAUUUUUAGUAGAGACGGGGUUUCUCCAUGUUGGUCAUUGCCUUUUUUUUUUUUUUUUUCUUUGAGACAGAGUCUCACUUUGUUGCCCAGGUUUGAGUGCAGUGGUGCGAUCUCAGCUCACUGAAACCUCCGCCUCCCAGGUUCAAGCGAUUCUCGUGCCUCAGUCCCCCAAGUAGCUGGGACUACAGGCAUGCGCCACCACGCCCAGCU
rnacentral:lncRNA from 10 species